rnacentral:misc_RNA from 1 species
GUGCCUUACUCUAAGGGGGGCAAAAGCACACUGGAAAAUUGCCAGGUUUUGCAGGCAACAGUUAACCGAUCAAAGGGAAACAAAACUGAGCUGUCAAGAGCUGAUCUUAUUCAGAAAAGUUCCUAUUGCCGUGUUUCUGGACGUGACAUGGAUCUUAUUGAGCUGUCAGCCUAUGGCAAUGUGCAGCAUGUACAGGACCCGGGAGGUUGUAGAAUUCAAUGAACAACUGGCUACUGUAAAAACUGAUGUCAAGAUGGGGCAAAGAAUUUGUAUUUCUAAUCAUACAAUUAAUGAUACCUUUAUCUU